UGGGGAAUAUUGGACAAUGGGCGAAAGCCUGAUCCAGCAAUGCCGCGUGAGUGAUGAAGGCCUUAGGGUUGUAAAGCUCUUUUACCCGGGAUGAUAAUGACAGUACCGGGAGAAUAAGCCCCGGCUAACUCCGUGCCAGCAGCCGCGGUAAUACGGAGGGGGCUAGCGUUGUUCGGAAUUACUGGGCGUAAAGCGCGCGUAGGCGGCUUUGUAAGUUAGAGGUGAAAGCCCGGAGCUCAACUCCGGAAUUGCCUUUGAUACUGGGUAUCUCGAGUCCGGAAGAGGUGAGUGGAAUUCCGAGUGUAGAGGUGAAAUUCGUAGAUAUUCGGAGGAACACCAGUGGCGAAGGCGGCUCACUGGUCCGGUACUGACGCUGAGGUGCGAAAGCGUGGGGAGCAAAC
rnacentral:rRNA from 1 species